UGGGGCAGCGUCGUGGGCGGCGUCACUGAGCCGCGCCAGCUGUGCCGGGUGGAGCUCAGCCCCUCUCUGCAGCCGUCUCGGAGCUUCCUACCUCACCCGCGGCCGUCGACCUGGCUUCCAUGUGCCCGGUGGGCGCAUGGAACCUCCACGCCCAUGGCCACUAGCCUGAGGAGUUCUUCCUACUCCUCGCCUUCCUGCUCGCCCGACACUGACGACGAGGGCGUGCGCGGUACUUGCGAAGAUGCUUCAAUCUGCGAGAGAUCUGUCUUGGGUAGAUUCAGGAGACCCGUGUUCCUGCGCUUUAACCUUCUUUGAUAUCAGUCCCCCAGCACUGCUGUGUCAGCUGCCAGUCGCUAAACAUUCAUUCCACAAUGCACAUUACUGAAAAGGCUCAGAAGAGGAGAAAGGAAGGUUCUUGCUGGCAACAUUAGCCCUCACUGGUACUCUGUCCACCUGCCUCUCAGCAUUAUUUCUAGAAUUUUCCUACAAAUAGCAGAAAAGUGUGCCUGUCCAGACUCUAUUGGACAGGGAUGAACUCUGGAAAUCGGAUAAAGAUACACCCAAGAUAACAGGGUGGGGUACCCAAAAAAAUUAAACGAUAAAACUAAGCAAAAAUUUGACAGAAAUGAAACAGUAAAAAGCAAAUUUAGAAAACUCAAGAGGAAGUAAAAGUAUUUUCAUACACACAGAAAAUGAAGUGUGCCACAUGCUCAGUCAACCAAACUCUUCCUUUUACUUAACUGUUUAAAAAGCAAGAACUGUGGGGGAAAAAAAUCACACUUCCAUGAAGUCAUGCUGGAAUAAACAGUAAAUCGGUACCGCACAGCUCACCACCCUGAAGACCUUGACCUGUCUGCUCCAGAUAAUACACCGCAUGACAAUCACCUGGAGCAGCUCGCAAACCCGCAAAUCACUCCCCUCCCAACAGCCUGGUCCUCUCCAAACUCUGGCCUAUUCUGUCAUUUCAUGAAGUUUUCUGUCCAGCGUUAAAACGGCACCAAAGAAACAGCGUAGUCUGUUUUCCCAAAUCAAAAGUGAGCAAGGCUUUUCUUAAAACAAGCUGUUUUUCUUUCUUCGCCACAAGGCGUCUCCAUAAUCCUUUCCUCCCAAUUCCAAAUUUCUAAAUGUCAGGAACUUGCAGCAGUCCAGGGACAGUCCUGCUUUUGAGAGCACCACCUCCACCUUCCCUCGCGGCGUCCGGCCCUCCCGGAGCAGCCCCGGCGGGUGUUCACAGCCCCUCACCGCCACAGCCAGCAGGGACUUGCA